rnacentral:rRNA from 1 species
AUCGUACGGGAGGCAGCAGUGGGGAAUCUUCCGCAAUGGGCGAAAGCCUGACGGAGCAACGCCGCGUGAGUGAAGAAGGUCUUCGGAUCGUAAAGCUCUGCUGUUGGGGACGAAAGGGUAGACGAGGCAAUGCGUCUACUAAGACGGUACCCGACGAGGAAGCCACGGCUAACUACGUGCCAGCAGCCGCGGUAAUCGAU